UACGUAGGGUGCAAGCGUUAAUCGGAAUUACUGGGCGUAAAGCGUGCGCAGGCGGUAAUGUAAGACAGUUGUGAAAUCCCCGGGCUCAACCUGGGAACUGCAUCUGUGACUGCAUUGCUGGAGUACGGUAGAGGGGGAUGGAAUUCCAGGUGGUAGCAGUGAAAUGCGUAGAGAUCUGGAGGAACACCGAUGGCGAAGGCAGCCCCCUGGGCUAACACUGACGCUCAUGCACGAAAGCGUGGGGAGCAAACAGG
rnacentral:rRNA from 1 species